UACGUAGGGUGCAAGCGUUGUCCGGAAUUAUUGGGCGUAAAGAGCUCGUAGGCGGUUUGUCGCGUCUGCUGUGAAAAUCCAGGGCUCAACCCUGGACCUGCAUUCGAUACGGGCAGACUAGAGUUCGGCAGGGGAGACUGGAAUUCCUGGUGUAGCGGUGAAAUGCGCAGAUAUCAGGAGGAACACCGGUGGCGAAGGCGGUUCUCUGGGCAUUACCUGACGCUGAGGAGCGAAAGUGUGGGGAGCGAACAGG
rnacentral:rRNA from 1 species